rnacentral:lncRNA from 1 species
CCGCCUCUGCCGGUGGUGCCAUCACUGCUGCCUCCGCUCCCAAAGCUUGAUGUGCCAGUUUCAGGUGUGCCAAUUCCGGAACUGCCAAUUCCACCUGUGCCUGCUGUUCUUCUUCCUUCACUGCCUAGUCUCCCUUCACUGCCUGUGCCUAUUCCUGCAAUUCCUAAGGCCAUUCCAACCACUACUCCAUGAAAGAACUAAAACUUGUAUUCUUUGCUCUUGAACUUGUAACUUAGUGGUUAAGUUUCCUGCAUCUAAAUUUGGGUUCUGC